AGAAAGGAAGGAAGGGAUGGAUGGAGGGAGGGAGGCAGUGCCUAACUGCAGGGAAAGAGUCUGCAGUUACUUUCUGGAGAUGGAGAUAUAGUGAGGAGAAAAGCCCUGGGAUCCUGACCAGACUAGGAGAAGGUUAGGAAGCAAAACUGGGCUCCUGAGGAAAGGAGAACCCAUGGGCAGGGGUCCCGAAGAGAAGGGCAAGACUGGGAUAGGGCUUUGAAAAGGGAAUUAAGCUCAGAAAGAGGGGCAAGGCUAGGAAAGCUGGGCUAUGGAAGAAGGCCUGGACUAAAGCGGGAUGGAAUAAAAGAGUGGCUUGUAGGAAGGCGCUUGUACCCUGAGACUGUCCCUGAAGGGAAAGGGCAGCUGGGAAGAAAUAGGCUCCUAAUGGAGCCUCCAGGAAGAAGCCCUGAAUGUCAGCGGCUCAGGAGCCAGUCCCAGGAAGAAGCCCUGGGAAGCAGUCCUCUGUGACAGAGUGAGGAGGUACUCUGCAGAGCCCAGGAGUGGGGCAAAGAGCACCGAGGAUUGAGUCUGGGAAGGAUGGGAGAGUUUUUGUUCCUUUUAGUUGGGACAUUAUUGUCCCAGAAAGGGUGGACAAAAUUGUGACCUGGCCAGAGGACUAAGUUAUGGGAAGAGAGACCAUGGGAGCAACUAUCAGCAAGGAGUGCCAGAUGGGGAUAAAGUCACCACGGCUGGCUAUAAGGAGGUGGUCCUGUGGGUUCAGCACUGGUAGAGUGGGGUUACUUUCUUUAGUUCACCUGGGUACUGAGAUGACAAAGGAAUGAAGAGAGGUGCCCUAGGCAUGUGUUACCAUAUGGGAAAUGAAAGUGAGCUGUGCUGAACACAUCAGAACAGCUGCCUGCUGCACUCUUCAGGUCAGAUGAAGAUGGAUCCUGCUUCAAGAGCAGCUGCCCGGCCUACUGACCCCACCCAGGUGCUGAUCAAUGGUGAUUAAUGUGCGGUUAAAAUACACUGUCCUCCAGAACUUUGCCCAGAGUGGCAGGAACAUUGACCUGCCUCAGGAAAUUUCACAAAGGCUGGAGCAAGUGGGCACUGAGCAGACUCCAGACCAGUGCUGGAAAUGCAUCAAGCAUGUACAGGAGGGCAAAGGACUCCAGCAAUUGCUCAGGGAGGGCUUGUUGCACAUGCCCCUUCUACAAUGAGCUGGACUGGGUGAGGUCAAGGGCUCCCAGUACAGAACCGGAAGUGGCUCAUGAUCCCUUUGUCAACCUUGCUGGACUUAUAGUCUGAAGGAAUGCCAAUGAGGGCCAGGGCAGGGACUGUGAGGAUGCCUCAGAUGAUCCGGAGGACAAAGAACAUCUGAUUUUCCACCUCUACCCAGAGGAGCUGGUUGAGAAAGCCCCCAUGCCCCUUGUCACAGCAGGAGCAAAAACCUGAGGCUGGUAAGUUACAGUGGACUCCCCCUGCCAGUGUCUCUUCUUGCUCUGGUGCUACAUUCCUGAUAUUAAGAUCCAGGGCAUUUGAAGUACUGUGCGCUGGCUUUUCCUCCUGGGAUAAUAUACCAUGCAUUGCCGUGUCCCUGAGUUUGAACUGCUAUGCUGAAGUCAUGGCAUUGACAUGCCCCAUACCCUCACCAGACUCCUCCAACUUUCCCCCUCUGUCAGCUCCCAAUAUGUUCCAUUCCAAAAUUGUCCCCAAGCAUGACACAGCUAUAAAGCAAUAAUUUUAUUGAUGUCUGAUGAACUACUAUUAUGCAUUUGGCUAAAUCUGUGUCUUAAAAACAGAUUAACAAAAAAAAAUCACUGCACCCUGUAUCUGUGAAUUUCUUGGCCAGCAGUCAAGUAGUAAUGGUUCUGGCAACACAUGGACUGGGGUUGCGACGGUUGUGUGUGGUUUAUACACACACACUCAUACUCCAACACGAGAGAGAGAGAGAGAGAGAGAGAGAGAAUUUUCUUUUGUCCCUUGGAAGACUACAGAGUUUCAGUGAUUCUUCUAACCCCCUGAUCUUACCAUCCACUUGCAAACAAAAGGUGUGCAGGACUGGAGGAAAGGAAAGUGGUUUGAGGGGGAGGUCGGAUUAGUUCCAGGAAGGGAAAGAGAACACUUUAGUUGUCUGUGGAGAAGUUAGUCCCAGCAGAUCUCUCUCCCUUAGAAAGUUACAAAAUUUGUACCAUCUAUGUCCCCGAUGUCCACCCUCUUCUUGCACUGAGCCAUAUGGCAACAAACUGGGGAAAAUGAGAGUGGGAGAAGGAUCUGGUCUUAUGGUUGGCAGGAGCGCCGGCAGCCUUUUUGGCACCCUAGGCGGUGGA